CACCCUGCCGUGACGGUCGCACGCCGCUGUACCUGGCCGUACUGCAGCCCACCCGGAGCUGGCGGCCGCCCUGCCGUGACGGUCGCACGCCGCUGUACCUGGCCGUACUGCAGGGCUGGCGGCCGCCCUGCCGUGACGGUCGCACGCCGCUGCACCCGGCCGUACUGCAACCCACCCGGAGCUGGUGUCGCAGAUGCCAAGCUGCGAGAUGACGGGGGUUAUCGGCCGUCGUCCAAACGGUGCGCGCGGGCCCUCAUCUUGUCCGACGGCGCACCCACUUCGCGACUGGCUCCGACCUCGCUUGGCGUUGGUACAAGAGCUGCCGGGAGUCGCCCUGCGUCCUCGUCGGGGAGCCGAGAUUCCGGGCGGGCCGACUCCAACGUUUCCACACGAUAUCGCUUUGAUAGCCAGAACGGCCUACGACGUUCCACGGCGCACGCCCACCCGGAGCUGGCGGCCGCCCUGCCGUGACGGUCGCACGCCGCUGUACCUGGCCGUACUGCAGCCCACCCGGAGCUGGCGGCCGCCCUGCCGUGACGGUCGCACGCCGCUGUACCUGGCCGUACUGCAGGGCUGGCGGCCGCCCUGCCGUGACGGUCGCACGCCGCUGCACCCGGCCGUACUGCAACCCACCCGGAGCUGGUGUCGCAGAUGCCAAGCUGCGAGAUGACGGGGGUUAUCGGCCGUCGUCCAAACGGUGCGCGCGGGCCCUCAUCUUGUCCGACGGCGCGCCCACUUCGCGACUGGCUCCGACCUCGCUUGGCGUUGGUACAAGAGCUGCCGGGAGUCGCCCUGCGUCCUCGUCGGGGAGCCGAGAUUCCGGGUGGGCCGACUCCAACGUUUCCACACGAUAUCGCUUUGAUAGCCAGGUUUCUUUCAAUGAUUAUUUCUGUAAUCGGUCACGAGGCGAAUCCUCGUUGAGCCUAAUUUGUUCUCCAGUGUGCCAAGUCUGGUUUGCUUUGUUGAUGACUUUGUGGUGUGAACGUGCCAAACCACAUGCUGUACUAUUAAAGGGUGUCAAAUAAAAAAACGAGUUAUGCUUAACAGCUAUAUAAACUA
rnacentral:lncRNA from 1 species